rnacentral:rRNA from 1 species
CGCGUAGGCGGCCUAUUAAGUCGGUUGUGAAAUCUCUUGGCUUAACUGAGAGGGGUCAACCGAAACUGGUGGGCUUGAGGACAGCAGAGGGAAGUGGAAUUCCCGGUGUAGUGGUGAAAUGCGUAGAUAUCGGGAGGAACACCAGUGGCGAAGGCGGCUUCCUGGGCUGUUCCUGACGCUGAGGCGCGAAAGCGUGGGUAGCAAACAGGAUUAGAUACCCUGGUAGUCCACGCCGUAAACUAUGGACACUAGGUAUGGGGGGUAUCGACCCCUUCCGUGCCGAAGUUAACGCUAUAAGUGUCCCGCCUGGGGAGUACGGCCGCAAGGCUAAA